rnacentral:rRNA from 1 species
UACAGAGGUCUCGAGCGUUGUUCGGAUUCAUUGGGCGUAAAGGGUGCGUAGGUGGCUAGGUAAGUCGGAUGUGAAAUCCCGGGGCUCAACCCCGGAACUGCAUUCGAUACUGCCUGGCUAGAGUACUGGAGAGGAGAUUGGAAUUUACGGUGUAGCAGUGAAAUGCGUAGAUAUCGUAAGGAAGACCAGUGGCGAAGGCGGAUUUCUGGACAGUUACUGACACUGAGGCACGAAGGCCAGGGGAGCAAACGGG